GAUGAACGCUAGCGGGAGGCCUAAUACAUGCAAGUCGAGCGGUAGAGUGACUUCGGUUGCUUGAGAGCGGCGCACGGGUGAGUAACGCGUACAUGACCUACCUUUAAGACUGGGAUAGCCCUGGGAAACUGGGAUUAAUACCGGAUGUGAUAAUACGUAUAGAGAUGUAUUAUUAAAGUUGAGGCGCUUAGAGAUGGAUGUGCGUCUGAUUAGCUAGUUGGUAGGGUAACGGCCUACCAAGGCUACGAUCAGUAGGGGGCGUGAGAGCGUGGCCCCCCACACGGGUACUGAGACACGGACCCCGACUCCUACGGGAGGCAGCAGUAAGGAAUAUGGUCAAUGGACGGAAGUCUGAACCAGCCAUCCCGCGUGCAGGAUGACUGCCCUAUGGGUUGUAAACUGCUUUUAGCAGAGACGAAACGCCUUCAUUUAUGAGGGUCUGACGGUAUCUGCAGAAUAAGCACCGGCUAACUCCGUGCCAGCAGCCGCGGUAAA
rnacentral:rRNA from 1 species